UCAAAUGUGAAUUUUAGAUAACAAUUUCUUUUUUGAAUACCUAUAUCCCAUGCAAUAUUUGGGACAUAUUUAUACUAAAAAUAUUAUUUAAUAUUUAUCUGAAAUUCAAACCUAACCAGACAGCCUAUAUUUU
rnacentral:miRNA from 1 species